UACGAAGGGGGCUAGCGUUGCUCGGAAUGACUGGGCGUAAAGGGCGCGUAGGCGGAUGGCACAGUCAGAUGUGAAAUUCCCGGGCUUAACCUGGGGGCUGCAUUUGAUACGUGUUGUCUAGAGUGAGGAAGAGGGUUGUGGAAUUCCCAGUGUAGAGGUGAAAUUCGUAGAUAUUGGGAAGAACACCGGUGGCGAAGGCGGCGAGCUGGUCCAUUACUGACGGCUGAGGCGCGACAGCGUGGGGAGCAAACAGG
rnacentral:rRNA from 1 species